CAGAAAUACAUAUCACAUAUAUGACUUCAAAGUUUAAACACGUAUACACGGUUCAAUAUUUCAUAGGAAAAUUCUCUAACCUUCUUUCUUAUGGCUACUGGCAUUCUUAAAUAACAUCAGUUCUGGUUUAAACAAAAUCGUGACAAUUUUUUGACAAUAAAUACACAAUUUUUUUGUUUCAACAUUACACUCAUUCAUUGUCUCGACAAGAUCUUCAAUAUCUUUUGCCAAGGAUGGCAAAGGUCCAACCGCAACAAUAGAAUGUAAGGGUUUCCCCUAAGGUAAGCAAUUAAACUUCCGAUGUCAUAUAGGUAUUGUUCAGCUAAUAACUCUCUUCAAAACAUCUUCAGCAUGAUGCUCGAAAUUUGGCAAGGCCCAGUCAUGUUGGGUUAUGUCAAGAUUGUCUUUCUCAACACUCAGACCCUGAAAACAAGAUUAAAAAAAGUAAGAUUUGCGAAUUGCUUAGUUAGAAACUACACUGGGUAGGAUCCCUUUGCCACAGUUCGACAUUUACUGUGUUUGAAACUGCGAAGAUAAGGAGAAGUGUAUCUAUCCCUGAACCCCUAGCUUGUAUAUCAUCCCAAGGCAAUUGGCCAAUUUCUCAGCAAGGAGCCAAGGGCUAUUCUUUUUUUAACCUUUUCUUAUAAACUUAUCAGAAUGCACCUACAUUUUGCUUCUUUGUACAAGUGUUAAAUUUUAACUUGAGUGUCAUCAUUUGCUCAAAAAAACUUGAGUGUCAUCCUCAAUGAAAAAGUAGUCAUGCUAUAGAACCUCUAUAUGGAUAUUUCCCCUGGUGACAUGGAGAAAGGGAGGGAGGAACCAUUCACGGAAUAAAACUAUAAUUUCGAAGUUGGAUCUUUAAAAUUAUGAAAAUUCUACAGUAAAUCAUUCAUAUUUGUACCUUUGAAGGAUCAAAUCCGAAUCCACCACCCAUUUGCAUCAUUCUUUGUGUAUCAUCUACAGCUGCAUGAAAAACAGCAACCAUCAUAAUUUGUAACUAGUGUGUAUCCAAAUUCCAGUUAUAAUGCAAAAAUCAACAAAUUAUGAAUAGUAAAAAUUCAUAUAAUGAAAUUGAUGAGAUAACUAAAAAUAUACAUAUAAAAAUGGUUGAUGUUUAAGUCGUUAAAUACAAACCAUUUUCUUCCCCCAAGAUGAGACUAAACAAUCCUCUUAAGCCAAACAGAUUGAGGAAGUACCUGAAAUGCAAUCAUGAUUCAUGACAAUUAAACGCAAGCAAGAGUGAAAAGGCAGAAAUCUAUGAAAAAGAAAAUUACCAGGAGCGACUGCUGACGUAGCUAACAUCAACUGUGCUGAGGUCUAUUCCAUUCUGUAACAUAGACCUAAACCUUUGUGUCAAUGGAAAGGGUAUCUUGGCUGCAAAAAAAUUGUAAAUAUUUUAGAAGCAGAUAACAGGGGCAGGGAAUACAAGGGUAGAUGACUGCAUAAUAAAACAACAACUAAAGCCUUUUUCCUACAAGGCAAUGAUAUUGAAUUAUGUUCAGUCUGAUAGUAGUACUCCCUCCGGUCACAUUUAUAAGCAAAAAAUGACUUUUUAUGUACAUUGAAUAAUUAAUGAAUCUGGUGAUAUUUAUAGGUUAGAUACAUUAAUUAUUCAAUGUAUCUAAAAAGUUGUUUUUUGAUUAUAAAUGUGACCGGAGGGAAUAUGUACUAUUUACUUGUAGCUUAUAGCUUGCAUGUAACUCUAAUAGUUUUCUUGUCUGUUCUGUUAAUUAAGUUUUAGUUCAAUAACUGGCGGUAGCUGUUACUCAGCAACAGAUUUUUCAAUUAGUUUGCACUGCACACUCACAUUUUACAUAUACAAGACUGAUGUAAAUCUUUCUCAUCUAAGAAAUAAGAAUAUCAAACUUGAGAAAUGCCCUUGAUCUCAUUCUCUCACAAAUAAUCUCAACUCUCAGAUUUCUUCAUGGUAUCAGGGCUUGAAUAAGCUUCGAUCAUGGCUUAGAUUCCUCAAUCUGCUACUUCAUCUCAAGCUUAGACUAAGUCCUUCAGCAAUAGCCAAUAACAACCUCCGUUCUAGCCUAAUUCUGGUAGCUACUAGCUAUCAUGGCCAACCCUUUUGUGGCCAUGGAAGAACAGAGUUGGUCAGGCCACACACAUUGUUAAGUUUGUUCCAACUUCGGUAAAUGUUAUAAAUAUGUAUGCUCUGCCAUUUCAUGGUCGUAAAAAUGGGGGGCACAGAGGAGGGGGGAUGGGAAGAGGGAAGUGGUGCAGGUGCAGCCUUGGGCUAUGCACCGUCUUUAACGAAGGAGUCUUCCUGGUCGACUGCCAGAGGAACUGUUUGUUAGGGUGGCUGGGUUCCAACGUCUAAACACACAUUGGAGAUGCAAAGAUUGCUGGAAAGAGACUGGCGGCGGUCAGGGAAAGGGGUAGGGGGGCAGGAAGGGAAGAAGGAAGAGGGGAGAAAGCAAUGUUGUCAAUUGUGGAUUAGAAAAGAAUACCGUUUGUUCGAAUUCCGCUAUGCUAUAGAGGCUAUAGUGCUGCUGAUAUAGCCUCUACUUGACAAAACUUCGUACUAAAUAGCGUAUCCCGGAACAAUAGCAGUUUGUUCAAAUUUCUCUGUGCUAUAGCGCUAUAACCUCUGUUUGACAACACUAGGAGAAAGAGGAAAAAUCUAGUAUGGGAGGUCUAUUGUUAAAUCUGGUGAAACUUCAAAAUCCAAAGGCAACCAAACGUGGUCCAUCAUGGACCACCUAUAGCAGUGAUCUAUGAUAGUAAUCAUACUUAAAAAUUGAGACUUGUAGUACUUAGGUGUUGGAAUAUUAGAAAAUAUCUUAUAAUAUCUUAAAUCUUUGAUAUAUCAUAUUUGAGUAUCUUAAGUUAUUAUCCAUAAAAAAGAAAAGAGUGUCUUAAGUUAUUUCCUAGGAUUAUCUUGUAAUCUUAAAGCAUCUCUUAGGAUUAGAUUUCAUAUUACCUAUUUUUAUUAUGAUUUGUUUUUGAUUUAUGAUUGAGACCGUGUAUCCCUAUUAAUAGGGAUCAGUGUUUAGUCUUUGGCUACAAGUUAGUAUCAAGCAAUGAUGAAUGAUAUUGAAAGUAUUUAUUAUUUUCCAUCCUCCUUUUAUCUAAAAUCCCACAACUUCAACAUUGUGUAUGUCUCGCUAAACUUGCAUUUUGUAUACUAAGUUUUAGUUCUAUAUAGUUGGAAAUUGUUUGUUUUUGAGAAUUAUCAUUAAAUCAGCAACUCCCCUUUUAUUUUAUCUCCCAUUUAUGACUAUAUAUCAUCUGCAAAAGGCAUGUGUCGAGAUAACAUAUUUUGGAUAUGUUAAGCAAGUAUGUCUUGAACCAAGAGAAAAAAACUAAGAAUCAAAGUUGACCCUUGGUACACACUAAUGGUUGUUGGGAAAUUUUCUAUAUUUCCACCUCGUAAUCUCAAACUAGUUGUGACCCCUUGUAAUCUCAAACUAGUUGUGACCCCUUGGUACAUUUCUUUGAUAGCUAAAUGAAAGUAAUCCACUAGGUAUUCUAUUAGAUGUCUUUUCAAUACCAAUACAAACCAUCAGUUUGAUUAGUUGAUAUUUUUCCCUCAACCUUUGUAGCAAGUACAUGGCUUCCAUGGACAAUAAGUCAAGAUAUAUACGUGCUUAUUCAGGAUGGCAACCAUAUAUAUACAAAAAUUAAAACUGGCAUCGUGACACCGUAAUAUGACAGACAUAAACAGAUUUUGAAGAAUAUGAAUUCAUGUAAAGAAAACUACCAAAUACCAAUCUAACAUUAUGACACUAUGAGGGACAAAAGCAAGUGUGAAAAUUACCUGCUACAAAUCCAGAAAAGAAAAAGUUCACCCAAGCAAAAGUAAGAGUCUGGCCAACAAGAGUAAACAAUACAAGUUAGUAUGGCAAUUCAUAAUUGGCAAAAAGUAGAACAACAAGCAAGGCAUAUGAUCCAAGAAAGCAGUGUCAAACUCUAAUCUAAUCUCGACACCUGAGGAAUGAUCAUUGAAAGAUUUUUCUUCAUCAUAUCCAUGGCCAUGUUCGGAUCAGAGAACAUCUGUGCUUGUGGAUUCGUGGCUUGGCCCUUCGGAACGAACAAUAGACCAUUUUCCUUUAACAAAAAUUGACAAACAAUUAGUUCACUGUUGAAUUGGUUAGACAAAUUAUUCUGUAAAUUACUACACAAAGCUUGUAACAGAGUUAUUAACUUCUGAUGAGUUUCAGAGGCAUUCUAGAAAUGUCAAAUUUUAAAAUUUAUUGAUCAAUUAACCUCUAAUGGGAUCUAGGAAACAAAUUUUGACUUCUGAGUACAACAAAUCACAGAAGCUGAGAAUUCUCAUAAAUU
rnacentral:lncRNA from 1 species